AUCAGAAAUGCAGGUGGCAUAUCUAGAUGAUCAGCCAUGCUGAGCUGCCUCUUGGAAAAAGUAUGGAUUAUCAGAGAGCUCCAGAGAUAUCAAAGGGAUCCCCAUGAGGGUAUAGGAGGCAAGGCACUAAAGUGAAAAAGAGGGAAUCUCAAGAGAAGGUAGGGGAAUGCGUAUCUGACUUGAGGCUUUCAUCAUCUGGCCUCUGAGACACCUCUUCUUCCACAAAAUGAGCAUCCGAUAGAAGGAGGAUGGAUUUUGGCAGCAUUGAGCUCAGAUCGAUGGGUGAAGAAUAGAUGGGAGGGGGGUUCCAUGAUAUGCGUUGGCAAUAACAGAAAAGGGAGGCAUGGAGGCUUUGGUAAGCAACGGGAAGAUAACAGAACCAAUCGCAUCUUAAGACAUCUCUCCUUAGGAAAUCAACAUCCUGCAGGGUACAUGCCAAGCCACAGGCAGCUGCAACCCCAUGGGAGUAAGGCCUCUGCUAUUAUUCCAAGGCUGGAUUCCGAGUCACUGUGUGGACGCAACUGUCAGUAAAAUCAACUUCGCAAAGGACUUUCUGUAAGGAACCCAACCUCAGCAGACGAAAACUGUCUCUGACCAGGGAAAGCAGGGAAUCACUUCCGCUCAUGGGCGGCGCUCCAAGAGGAAGUCGAGUGCAUAACAGAUGGCCAAGUUUCCCUGUUCUAGUCUUGAGAUGAAGCAAGCGCUUUGUCGAGGAGGCCACAGCAAAUGGAAGACCUAUAUGCUUGCCUUGGUUUUGUAGCCAUCUCUGACAUGUCCCUAAAUGGGGUCCUUCUCACUAUUUUAUUUCAUCAGCAACUUGUUUUCAAAUCGAGGAUUUGGUAACUCUCAGUCGCUUUUAUCUCUAAAGGAAAAUGCAAUUUUUACUGGUGACAGUGCUCUUCAAAGUUUAAUUUGUAUGUUGCCUAUCUACGAGUUCUUGCUGAAGUCCCCUUGUUAGCACAGGGCUCCUGUUUCCUCUCUGACCCUCUGAAGCUAAUGACAGCUGCAUUAUACUGCAGAGGUAAUCAAUAGCCUCCUAUGGCGGAUCACAUCCAAUCAGACCCUUAUGAAAUUAGUGCAGUGGAGAUAUAUGUAUAUAUCUUAAUUAAAAC
rnacentral:lncRNA from 1 species